UACGUAGGGACCAAGCGUUGUUCGGAUUUACUGGGCGUAAAGGGCGCGUAGGCGGCGUGGUAAGUCACUUGUGAAAUCUCUGAGCUUAACUCAGAACGGCCAAGUGAUACUGCUGUGCUCGAGUGUGGAAGGGGCAAUCGGAAUUCUUGGUGUAGCGGUGAAAUGCGUAGAUAUCUGGAGGAACACCGGUGGCGAAGGCGACAUCCUGGACCGGUAUUGACGCUGAGGCGCGAAAGCCAGGGGAGCAAACGGG
rnacentral:rRNA from 1 species